AGGUGAGGGACCAGUGUAUAUAAUAUUCUGGGUUUACAUUAAAGGAAUGUAUUAAAAGUCACAGACACUUGAGUGCUUCACUGUAUAGAUUCUCUCCUGAUGUGACUGCCUAGUUUGUAGGACUUUCCCAGGUUUUUCCCAGCACCCUGCCCCUCUUCUUUUAUUUUCAUUCUUGAUCUACUUUACAUUCCUGCUCACCCCACAUGACCUACAGUAGCGCUAAUGUUGUCGUGUUUGUGAAAGCUGAAUCUGAACCCGCUGAGACUGCUGUUUAGAAGCAGAUGCUGUAAAAUCUGUUUUUGUUACACUCGUUCCCAUUGUUGUUUUCUGCCUCUCUCUUUAACUCUUAUUUUGGGACGUUUGUACAAGGAAAAAAACAACAACAAAAAAGAUUCGAGAGUUGUACCUUACUUCUUCUCACUUGUGUAUUUUCCUGCUUCCUUGUAAGAUCCUGCCAAACAAAGAUAUUUAAUAAAUUAUAAUAAGUCAUAUAACAGUGAGUUCACCACUUGUUCUCCCAGUGGCAUUGCUAAAUAGUUUGCACAUUCUAAGCUUGAAAUCAGAAACUAUACAUUUAUUUGUCAAAGCUUGGUGUGACAAUAAAGCUUUUUCAUGUGCUCUAGUUUUGUUUUUGUUUUGAUUAAUGUCUUAAUGGUGAGAACACAUCCGUGUAUCAGCACGCAGAGUAUCGUUUCACAUUGCUGAAGUGUUGUAUUACAGGUAUUACAGGUAAAGUCUGCCAGUUUUCCGAAAAGGAAAUGAACAUAUUUUUUUGGCAGAAACAUGCAGCCAUUAUGCUCUUUACUCGUGUUGUAAAAAAAUUUUUUUGUCUUAAAUAAUGUCACGAUCUAUUGUUCUACAUCUAGAAUUAGCAUGAGAACUUUAAUUUCAAUGUUAUUUUAUCUGAAAGGGGGGUCCCUGCAAUUUCCACCCUCUAUUUGUUAACUUCAACAGCUUGUGGCACCAAAAAAAAGGAAACCCACUUUAAUAGAAGUAAUUCCUCAAGAACCACACUGCAAACAAUCUUUGACCAGAUAUCCUUCCUGUAUAUCUGAGCUUGGGACCAGCACUAGCAGUUUGCUAGCCGGAGUCCGCUCGUGUCUCUUCCAGGUGUUGAACUGGGGAUCGUUUAAACCUAGGCUGAAUACAUUAACCACUGCGCCACAGAACCUUUUUUGUUUUUCCAAGCUGCAACUAAUCAUUUAAAAUCAAAAAACAAUCUCACUGUCAGCAAAGCACCUUACCAAUUUGUUUCAAGCACUUGGAUGCUGAUUAAGGGUGAGUUUCUCACUGAUGACAACCUUUACUGCUGUUAAACUGCAGCUUCCUUCAGACCUAAUAUAAAGGUGUCACUUUACUAGGCGAGGCAGCUCUCCUCAUCAUUAUCUGUGCUGCAUGUCUCAAAGAAAACAGAAGGGCUGUGUAUCUAUUGAAUGAUGGCUUCAAUAACAGUUCAUGGUUAUGCCUGGAUACGGCAGCACAAAACAACCAUUGUUGCUGUGUGAUUAGAUCGUACCACACACACAUGGAUAAUUGGGUAAUGUUUGGUACAAUGGCCAGAGCCUGUCAGGAUACAGCUCUCUUAGCAGCAGAUGAAUGGAGAUGUCUGUCUGACACAGAGGAAGAAAAAAGACGAAAGAGAGAGGGAGGAGGGAAGGUGGGAAUACCUAAUUGCAGGCUUUAUCGUGAUAGAUAGGGAGAGGAAUGCGUCUGACAAGCACAUCUUUGAUCUCUUGAGUGUUGGCAAGCCUACUGACAGACAACAAGAGGCUCUUAGACCAACCAUAGAAACAUAUGGGCUGCUCAGCUUGUGGGUGACCUGACUGAGUGAUGUCAUUUCCAGGAGGUUUCUUGAAAUUAGGGAAUAACUGUAUGGGGGUAAAAAAAAAGAGAGAUGGCAUACUGAGAAAGACAGCAUCCUUCCUAUAUUAGAAGUGACAUGCCUUUCUAUCACUCCUAAUAUUUCAGAUCAUCAAACAAAUUUCAAUAUUAGACAAAAAUAAGGUGAUUAAACACAAAAUGCAGCUGUCAAAUUAUGAUUGUAUUUAUUAGGGCAAAAAAAGCAAUCCAAACCUACCUAGUCCUAUGUGAAAAACUCAUUGCCCCAUAAACCUAAUGGGUGGUUGUGCCACCCUUUGCAUCAAUAACUGCAAUCUGAAAAAGAACUCUUUCAUAUCCUUUUGGAGGAAUUUUGGCUUAUUGGAACAUGAAAUUUCAAAGGAUCUCAAUCUGACUUAAGUCUUAAGUUUUUGUUAUGCAGGUCUCACUACUAUCUUGUGAACCUUCCCUUUCGCUCUUGUUGCUAUCCCUCUGUCACAUAUCAGCCCUAACACUUGUCUCCACCUACUCCACCCUGCCUGCGUUCUCUUCUUCACCUCUCGUGUGCACUGCCCGUUGUUCCCUGUAAUUUAAACUCAUCUACCUUAAGGCCCUCUGCUCUUUACAACUUCACUUUCCUACCUGCCUCCCUCUCAUUCAUUCACAUGUAUUUUUUUUCAUUCCUCUGCUCUCCUCCACCUCCUCCCUACUCUCACUACAGAUCACAAUACCAUCUGCAAACAUCAUAGUCCACGAAGACUCCUGCCUGAACUCAUCAGCCAGCCUGUCCAUCACCAUCACAAGCAAGAAGGAGCUCAGAGGCGAUCCCUGAUGUGAUCCCACCCCAUCUUGUACAUAAACGGCUUCAUCAACAUACUUCAUCAACACGUUUUAGCAAUUUAAGUAUCUGUUCAUUCGUUACAUUUAAAUUUACCUGACAGGUGUUUGUCAUGAUUUGUUUUGCUAAUCAUUACGCAUUAGCAUUAGUUUCAGCCAUUUAUCUAUGCCUGCAUGUUUUUAAUGCAGUCUGUGUCUGGGAUGCCUGAUUUUACUUCAUGAAUAAGUCAAGAUGAAUUAAUCCAUAGAUUUUUUUUAAAUUAAUUCAACAGUACAAAAACCCAUGUAGACUAACACCACCACUUCACAGUAUGCCUGUUAAUAUUAUCCUACUUAUAACAUUUUAAACCCUUUCUUUCUCUUCUUGACAGUGGAAGCUAUAGAAAUGUUAUCGGUUUAUGUACUGGAUAUGUGAGAAAGCAACACCAUGGUUAGGUGACACACAUUAUUCUUACGUACAAUGCGUCAGUUUAAGGUGACCACAUGCAGCUGGGAUGAAACUUGGUUACGGAUAAGACUCAUGCUAAAACAUGACCACAAAAACCUCAAUCAUAGAUUCCAACAGAGAUGAGGCCGCAGGAAUGUCAUUCUGACACAAAAGCAGAAAAUCAGAUGCUUUUAUUAACAGUUCUGAGAAGUGCACACACACACACACACACACACAAUGUUGUCAGCGUAGCAAUAUGUAUAGCAGUUACUGUGUAGAAUAUAAUCACUCAGCAAUAUAGGGAGACAGACAGGAGCCCAGUACCAUAAUACCCUCUGUCUGUUCCACAGUAGUGUGGGCUGAUGUCUGACACACACACAGUCUCUGACAUCAUAUAGGCAGGGUUCUGGCUGGGUGCAUCCUCUCGGGUUCCCCCCACUGUGUCGACUUGUAAUUCACUGACAUCACUUCCCUCUCAACAGCAACAAACGGCUGGGUUGUUGGGAGAGUCCACUGGAUGAGGGGAGAGGAGGGGGUACGUUUGACUCAGACCCAUGGAAUCCAUGAUAUACUGUACUAGGCUUUGUGCUGGAAAGGGGAAAACCAGCUACAUCAUCUAGUCUUUUGUUUACUUCAGUCUUUUUUCUUAUUGAUGCAUCUGCUCUUUCUUUCAUCACCAUGGACUGAUAGGUGUGCUUGCCUAAUGGGCCAAGAAGCUGAAUCACUGAGUUUAUAGAGGUUUGUGUAUGUGCAGCUCUCUAAAGGUCCAGCCACAGCAUUUCAGUAAGGAGUGACCACACAGUGAUGCUGUAACUAUGAGUGUGUGUGUGCAUAAGCUGGACAAUAACUCCGGCACACCAACUCCCAGGGCACCUCAGACCCUGGCAGAAUGAAAACAAUCAGCGUGGGAGCGAAGGGAUGGAGACAAUUAUGAAAGCGAGAGGGGGGGAACAGCGAGAGAUAAGAGUUUAUGUCAGAAGGAACAGCUGAAUCAUGUUGGAAUUGAGUGUUUAUCUGAAAAUGAGCAGACAGAGCAGACCUUGGGUGGAGGGGAAAUAUCAUAGUCAAGAGGGGCCGCCGGUGUUUCCCAAACCGAUAGCUCUGUUUUGACUCGUUGAAGAUUGAAAACAGCCGCUGGAGCUCUGUGUGGACCUGGUAACAUGGUAAAUAAAAUUUGAUAUUAUCUGUGAAGACGAGUAGUAAGUCUGUCUGACUCAUAAAAACAACAAACACCUCACAACUGCACAUGCACACUGCACAUCGUUGUUCCCACUUUGGAGGAAAGGAAAACAGCAGGAGCAGGUUUUCAGUGUUAAUCUAAGAGGUGUUGCUUCAUCUGCUGUUGUGUCUCUCCUCAUUUUCUGUCAGUUCACACCCACUGCUGUAUUGACUCAGUAGUGAGCACAAGUUCAGCUUUGAAAGACAACACACGAAUGAGGAAACAUCUUGACAAAUCAUAUCUUCCUUCCUGAUGGCCUCGGGGAGUUCCGAAUACACACCUUACCCUGGAGAUAACAGUUUGCUGUGGCUUAUUUGGGCAAAGCUGAGCCACUCUGAUGACCACAGAGAGGAAGUGAAGGUCAAGUCUGGGAGAGCCUUGCAAAAUGGCCAAAUGAAUAAAAGUUGUCUCAUGCUGAUGUCACGGCUGGUGCACAUCGGUGCUUUUCCUCUUCCCCCAUUGUCUUCCUCCACCCCUUCUGAGCUUAACUCGACUGCAGCCAGACUGGCAGUUGAUCUUUUAUUGUGUUGGAUUGAAUGCUUUGCAAGAGAGAUGUGGUUUGGAGAUCAAGAAAGUUCUAGCGAACAUCCAAAAUGUCAGUUUUGCUGUUUAUGCUUCAUUUUCAACAAUUUAUUCAAAUAUCUCAAAAUGUUUUAUAUCAAUAAAUUUGUGAUUGCAUUUAGUUAUGGAGGGAGGUCUAUGCUAAAUAUCAAAUGCAACAAUUCAACUAUUAUCACUUACUAGCUGCCAAAAUUAUUGUCAGUUACAUGAAAGUUUGCAAAAACAGGAAAUCUCAUUAUGAUAAUUCAAUGAACUGCGAGAAAUCAAUGGAAAUCACAAAGAAAUUUAUGUUAAACAACUUCUAUUCACACAACAGCAUAGAUCUGAAACACAAAUUUAUAAAUUCCUCCAUAGACAGUGAAGUAAUUGCUGCAAGAUUAUUCAAAUGUGCAAAAUGACAGGCACUUAUUUAGCAAUAUAGCACUGAGACUCAGACUGAUCGCAGCAUGUUGGCAAUCUGGCUCUGUUUAUAAAUUAGACCGCAAACUCUUGUCAAUCUGUCUGAGAGUGAUUGCAGUCAGUGUGAGUCCUACCAUGAUUGUUUUAAUACCUUCCCACUGAAACUAAAAGUGGUUGCUGCAACUACUGGCAAUAGACUGGAGAAGGAUGGAAGAAAUAUAGGGCAAAAGAAGAGCCUGUUCUUAAUUUUCAAAUUUCAGGGCGGAGCAGCAAAUUCCCUUUUAUCAUUACAGAUCUAGACAAAGCUUACAAUGAGUCAUAUCAUUAAUCAGACUGUAGAUCUGUAAUGAUAUCUUGUUGAAGUUACUAAUUUAUAAGAUACUCACAUACCAAAUGGUGAUGAUGAUUUAAAGGCUGUGUGAGAAUACUGGACAGUAUAAACAUAUGCUAGCUAUGGAAUUAUAACAUUUCCAGUAUUAUGGAAAAGUUUACAUUAAUGGACUCAUUUGGCUUAGUACAGGAUGGGCUCACUGUCAGUUUAGGUCAAAGAUAAUGAUCAUCAGUUUAGAUUCUUUAGCAUCGCUUGCCAAAUUCCUAAAUGACUGGGCUUGGUUGGAAAGCGGCCAUGGCAGUAAGUCAUGUAACAUCACCUAAUAUGUUUUAGAAUUAAGCUGGCCAAAUACUCAAAGAGAAAGCCUUGUAGUCCCUGUCCAAUAUGAAACAAAUCUACCAAAUCAACAAACCAGUCUUGGGAGAUAUUUAGAACUGAGUCAUUUUUCCAUGCUACACAGCUUCACUAGAUCCCAUUGUUCCCGCACUCCCACUCUUUAUCGGCUUAUACUAACCACCUGACUACAUUAUAAUAAUAAGCAUAAUAGUUAAUGCUUAUCAUGGCAGGUUAGACAGUUCUCUAGCUAGCAUUACCGUUAAGUAUACCAACAUGACUAGACAUUUAAAUAAAGAAACCACCUUACCUUAAGGCUAACAUUAAUAAAAUACUGGCUAAUGUUAUACAGGAAUAUUACAUUGCAUUAACUGUGAAGAUCAAAUUUAAGCUUAUGAGCUUAGAGCUCAUUACCUGAUGUUAAAUAGUGGAAUCGUAUUUUAUUUUUUUCAAAGUUUUAUACUCACCAGCUAUGUUGUUAGCUACCUCAGUUCACAUGACAGCAACUCAAUGCAUUUAGGCAUGAAGACAUGGUCAAGAUGGCCUGUGGAAGAUCAACUCGAGCAUCAGAAUGUGGAAGAAAGGUGUUGUGCCCAUACAAGACAAGCUGGUCUGAGCAUUUCAGAAACUUGUAGUAAAAAGUGCUCAGUUAGAGUAAAAAAGUACUGCUUAAACUGACCUACAGCUAAAGAAAUAUCAGAGUCCGAGGCUGGCAGUAGUGGUGCAAUAGUGUGGUUAAUAUUUUUUUGGCAGACUUAGUACCAGUUGGGUAAUGUUUAAACGCCACAACCACCUUAGCAGUUUCUGCCCAUAUCCACCUCUUUAUAACCACAGUGUACCCACCUUCUAAUGGCUGCUUCCAGCUGCAUAACAUCAAUAAUGCCACUCAAAUCAUCUCAAACUGGUUUCUUGAAGACAGCAAUGAGUUCACCAUGCUCAGAUGGCCUCCACAGUCACCAUAAUCGCAAUCCAACAGAGCUCCUUUGGGGUGUGGUGGAAUAGGAGAUACAUAUCACGGAUGUGUAGGUAUUUUAUUAAUCUUAACUUACUACUGCACCCAUUUAUCUACCAUAUUUAUUUAAUUAUUCUGAUCAAUUGUUGCAUUUUGCUAACUAGAAAGGGGUUCUGUCUUUUAUUGAAAUUCAAUGUGACCAUACCUGAUAAAUACAGGCUAAUCUUUAUGUCGAUCACAAAUCAUGACCAGUGCCAUUUCUUUUCGUAUUUUCACUGGAAAAUACUCCACUGGUAUCUCUGUUUAGAAAAGAAAACUGUUGACAUUUAAGACUGAGAGCUGGGAUGAAAGAUGGAGGCAGGGCAGGAAAGUGGAAGCAGCUCAGGAUGAAAGCAUUUAGGAGUGCUAGUGUCUGUAUCAUAGAUAAUUACUGGUCUUUGAAAAUCAUAUUGGCAUUGGCUUUCCUCUCCUGACAAAGCAUGAAGGCUCCAUCUGGGUUUUUCUGUCCUUAUGAAUUUUUGUUGAUUCUAUGGGAGGUUUGUUUCAGAGACCGGUUUGUUUUCUCUUGUUACACAUUUGCAGUGGCAAAAACGUAGCGUAUUACACUCUGCUCAUCACUUUUCCUAAAAGUAAUGUAGUAUGUUAUUUAAUUACUUCCAGGAGAAAUUAAUUUUUGACAUUGCUUGAUACAUUACUUUUUUAGUCCAUAACAUGAUCUGAAUUGCACUGUCACAACUGUCUGCUGUUGGUACCCUCUGGAACAUAUUUAUAAUAGCUAUAAAUACGCCUACCUUUAAGUGGCAAUGCUUCAUUCAUGAAACACUUUAAAAUAAAUAACACUUUGCUGUGCAUUGAUCUGUGCUGCAGAUUCUGCUGGUGUCGCUUGUCAUUUUAGUGUUUCCCUCCACACAGUGCAGAAGUGCCUGCUCUUAUAGUCUGCUAAGUCUUUACCCCGACUCUCCCACACUCCCCAGCCCACUCACAUCAACUGAAACAGGAUCUGCCUAAUGGUCUGGAAUAUCCCUGUUUGGGCUGAUCAUCACUCCAAUUUUC